GACCCAAAAGAUGGUGAGCUAUGCCUGGGAAGAGCGAAGCCAGAGGAAACUCUUGUGGAAGUCCGUAGCCAUCCUGACGUGCAAAUUGGUCAUCCGAUCUGGGUAUAGGGGCGAAAGACUAAUCGAACCAUCUAGCACAGGG
rfam:Myotis davidii contig227510, whole genome shotgun sequence.